AAAAUCCGUUGCUUUUAGUGGCCACUUCACCAAUUUUAGUAACCUAAUUUCAAAUAAGGGUAAAGGUUCAGUGAUCUCCGGUGAAUUUUCCCCCGUUCAUAAAUUCUCCGCAAACGAAAGCUUCGCACAUAAAUUUUUGGCUCCUGUUCACCAUGACCAUUUCUCCCUUGGAAAAUACCGUGUGCACUAAAAUGGGGACUGUGCACCAGUGUCAAGAACGAAUUUAACCAUAAAAGCCAGCAACCAUGUUCUCUUCCCACGCUUCUCCGUCGAAGGAAGGAUUGUAAUUGCAUUUCUCUGAUUUUGUCCUUCAAUCAAACUGCAGUAGUGCGGAGGAAAAGCAGGUUAUCGAGGCAAGUUGGUUUCUGAAUUGAUGAUGAACUUGAAGAUCCUAUCUUUAAUGAUGAGGUUGAUUCCAUCCACCAUCCAAGAAUCUCUGCUGCUUGCUACUUGAAGGAACUGCCCGCUUACCAACAAUGGCAUCAAUCUCUUAACUCCGAUGAAGAAUUUACUUCUGAUGACGAGAUGUCCUUAUCCUUGCUGUUUAAAACUUCCAGAAAGUUAGCCUUCAUACACCAAUAGGC